rnacentral:rRNA from 1 species
GUUGGGUUAGUCCCGCACGAGAUCCAACCCUCACGUGUUUAGUUGCCAUCAUUAAUUCUGGGCACUCUGAAAGAACUGCCAGUGAUAAGCUGGAGGAAGGUGGGGAUGACGUCAAGUCCUCAUGGCCCUUACGUGUUGGGCUACACACGUGCUACAAUGGUAUCUACAACAGGAAGCAAGACUGCGAAGUUAAGCAAAUCCCUAAAAGAUACCUCAGUUCGGAUUGCACUCUGCAACUCGAGUGCAUGAAGCUGGAAUUACUAGUAAUCGUGGAUCAGCGUGCCACGGUGAAUGCGUUCCCGGGUCUUGUACACACCGCCCGU